GACAAAAUUUCUCUCUUUUGCCGUCUCUUUGCACAGGCUUUGGUUCUGGUGAUUAGUUGUUAAUGGGAAUAUGUCUAAGGCCUAAAUUUUCUCCCAAUAUUCUUUGGUUUUUCAUAAUUUUUUUUUGUCUUACCAUUUGCUUCUAUUCUAUGCCAUUAAACUCUUACAUUUACUGGUAUCAGUAAUAUGUUUAAGGCCUAAAUCUCUUUCAAUAUAGUUUGGUAGUUCAUAACUUGUUUAAUUUAGUACUUGCUUCUGUUCUGUUUCAUUAUACUUACAGCUAACAUUAUCGGCUUUUGGAAUGAAAGGCUUCAUAUUUUGAAACAUUCAGUUGUCUUCAUUUCAAUGUAAAAUCAUGAUUUCUUGAUUCUCUAAUUCUCUUCAUUAGCACCUAAACGUUUGUCCCUCUGUUGACAGGAGAAGAUCCACACAAAAGCA
rnacentral:misc_RNA from 1 species